CAUGCAAGUCGAACGGUAGAGGGGGCAACCCCUCGAGAGUGGCGAACGGGUGAGUAAUAUAUCGGAACGUGCCCAGUCGUGGGGGAUAACGUAGCGAAAGUUACGCUAAUACCGCAUACGAUCUACGGAUGAAAGCGGGGGAUCGCAAGACCUCGCGCGAUUGGAGCGGCCGAUAUCAGAUUAGGUAGUUGGUGGGGUAAAGGCUCACCAAGCCAACGAUCUGUAGCUGGUCUGAGAGGACGACCAGCCACACUGGAACUGAGACACGGUCCAGACUCCUACGGGAGGCAGCAGUGGGGAAUUUUGGACAAUGGACGCAAGUCUGAUCCAGCCAUUCCGCGUGCAGGAUGAAGGCCCUCGGGUUGUAAACUGCUUUUGUACGGAACGAAAAGGUCUCUCCUAAUACGAGGGGCUCAUGACGGUACCGUAAGAAUAAGCACCGGCUAACUACGUGCCAGCAGCCGCGGUAAUACGUAGGGUGCAAGCGUUAAUCGGAAUUACUGGGCGUAAAGCGUGCGCAGGCGGUUAUGUAAGACAGAGGUGAAAUCCCCGGGCUCAACCUGGGAACGGCCUUUGUGACUGCAUAGCUAGAGUACGGUAGAGGGGGAUGGAAUUCCGCGUGUAGCAGUGAAAUGCGUAGAUAUGCGGAGGAACACCGAUGGCGAAGGCAAUCCCCUGGACCUGUACUGACGCUCAUGCACGAAAGCGUGGGGAGCAAACAGGAUUAGAUACCCUGGUAGUCCACGCCCUAAACGAUGUCAACUGGUUGUUGGGGUCUUCACUGACUCAGUAACGAAGCUAACGCGUGAAGUUGACCGCCUGGGGAGUACGGCCCGCA
rnacentral:rRNA from 1 species